rnacentral:lncRNA from 1 species
GCAAUUCUAGCAUUACAAUGUCUGGGAGUGAUGAUCAAGACAGUCCCCCUCCUGCCAAGUAAGUAUAUAUUUACCGGUGAAGACUAUAGGGUAAGGCUGAUAACAGAAUCUUAACGUAAAAUUCCAUGGAUUAAUGCAGGGAACAAGUUGUAGGAUGGCCACCAAUCCGAUCAAACAGGAAAAAUUGCUUACAAAGUUCCAAGAGAAAUGAAGUUGAAGGGAUGGGGAUGUAUGUGAAAGUAAGCGUUGAUGGAGCUCCUUAUCUCAGAAAGAUUGAUCUCAAGGUUUAUGGGGGCUAUCCUCAACUCCUCAAAGCUUUGGAAAAUAUGUUCAAGCUCAC